rnacentral:hammerhead_ribozyme from 1 species
AUUCAGCUGACGAGUCUUGAAUAGGAUGAAACGUAUGUCCUGAAU